rnacentral:rRNA from 1 species
UCCGUAGGCGGUGUGGCAAGUCGGUAGUGAAAUCUCUCGGCUUAACUGAGAGGCUGCUGCCGAAACUGCCAUGCUCGAGUGCGAGAGAGGCGAGUGGAAUUACGGGUGUAGCGGUGAAAUGCGUAGAUAUCCGUAGGAACAUCCGAGGCGAAAGCGGCUCGCUGGAUCGCAACUGACGCUGAGGGACGAAAGCUAGGGGAGCAAACAGGAUUAGAUACCCUGGUAGUCCUAGCCCUAAACCAUCAGGACUUGGGGUUUGCCCUGUACGGGGCAAGUCCCGGGGCUAACGCGUUAAGUCCUGCGCCUGGGGAGUACGGUCGCAAGGCUGAA